AGUUCGAUUGAUGUUGUAAUCCCACAAACUCUUUUCGAAUGUGAUCAUAUCUUUACCUCUGAUUUGUAGUUCUAUUUUAUAGUCACGAUAUGCUUUCCAAUGCUAUGAAGACUUCAUAUUCCGCUUUGUUAAGAAUUUUGGUCACUUAGUUGGAGAUUUGAUACAGGAAAAGCAUUGGUCUUGGCCCUUUUGGAGAGCUUAGGUAUCCUGCACAUCCUUUUGCUGAUGGAAGAGGGAUGUUUCCCGAGAUUUGUGAGUUUCAUUGCUAUGAUAAAUACAUUUUUGGGUUCUUUUGCAUAUUCUGAUUGCUGCCAUCGAUCCAUCUAACCACCCUCAGACCCUUCCGCAUUACGCAAUAAAAGUUAUGUUUGGUAACCAACCCUUUACUUUAUUAAUUAGUAAUCAAAUGUGAAUAUAUCUACUAGCAACUAGGUCAUAACAUUGUUACUUAAUUGAACCAUUUUGAUGUCUUUUACAGGGAGCAUCACUAAACAAAUGACCGCAAUAGAAGAAAUGGUUGCAAGUGAGUACAAUUAGCCAGACCUUCAUCUUUGUGACACGAUCUUGAAGUUGGUCAUUUAUGAAGCGUUCUAGUUUACUAUUAGUUGCAGUUUUAGUUAUUGCUCUCUCAAUAUAUUCUUUUUCUUUCUAUUUUUUUUUUUAAAGGAUGAUCAGUGUAAUAAUUAA